rnacentral:rRNA from 1 species
ACGAGGAAUUCCUAGUAAGCACGCGUCAUCAGCGCGUGCUGAUUACGUCCCUGCAAAAUGUACACACCGCCCGUCGCUAUUACCGAUUGAGUGUAAAGGUGAACCUUCUCGAUAGACGCAAGUCCAGAAAUUAAGUAAACCUUUGCACUUAGAGGAAAUAAAAGUCGUAACAAGGUUUCCGUAGGUGAACCUGCGGAAGGAUC